rnacentral:rRNA from 1 species
UACAGAGGGGGCCAGCGUUAUUCGGAAUUAUUGGGCGUAAAGGGCGCGUAGGCGGCCAUGCGUGUCUCCCGUGAAAUCCCUCGGCUCAACCGAGGACGUGCGGAAGAAACUGCAAGGGCUCGAGUCCGGAAGAGGGGGGCGGAAUUCCCAGUGUAGCGGUGAAAUGCGUAGAUAUUGGGAGGAACACCAGUGGCGAAGGCGGUCCCCUGGGCCGGAACUGACGCUGAGGCGCGAAAGCGUGGGCAGCAAACGGG